UACGAAGGGGGCUAGCGUUGCUCGGAAUCACUGGGCGUAAAGGGUGCGUAGGCGGGUCUUUAAGUCAGGGGUGAAAUCCUGGAGCUCAACUCCAGAACUGCCUUUGAUACUGAGGAUCUUGAGUACGGGAGAGGUGAGUGGAACUGCGAGUGUAGGGGUGAAAUUCGUAGAUAUUCGCAAGAACACCAGUGGCGAAGGCGGCUCACUGGCCCGUUACUGACGCUGAGGCACGAAAGCGUGGGGAGCAAACAGG
rnacentral:rRNA from 1 species